UGGCAACAUUAACAAAUUAUUAUUGAUAUAGGCUUUUCAAUUUGCUCAAGAUUAUGAAUUGUAAGUGGAAUGAAGCAGCAUUUCCAGUUGACGAAAGGAUCCGCAGGAAAAGGAAGAAAGGGGAUACAUUUAGGUUGAAGUCUCCCAAAGACCCUGAGAUAUGUGUAGACGUAACAUGGCAUCUAUUUGAUAAAAUCUUGUUUGCACCGCAGUGUUCACUCCCAGGCUUCAGAGUCCAAACCAGAAGUUCUCCAACUGUUUGGUUUCAGGACCUUUUGACACUUGUUGCAUAUUAACAUAAGGAACAUUUUUUUUUUUGUAAUGAAAGAUUACUGUAUUUUACCAAACAAAAAAGAUUUAGUGAGCAGAGUGGCAUUUUUUUUUUCACAUUUCACAGAUUGCUCUGGUGUCUAGCUCAAUAGCAGGCUGCUCAAUUAUCUACAUUUAAUCAGUUGCAAUAUCGUACAUCAUGUAGCUUUUACAAAGUCCUGUGUACAUUCAUGAGAGUUUGAGAGUAAAAUAAAAAAGGUGUAUACGUAAUAUUAUAAUCAAAUAGUUGCACCAUGCAAUCUCAGAAAAGCUUGACAGAACGAUUUGCGUUAAACAGCGGUAUGCGAAGGGGAGCAGGAUUGACAUCCUGGUCUACUCUCAUACAGAAAAUGGAACUGGCACUGUAGUUAGAUUUGCUGAAACCAAUGAACGGAGGCAAGGCUGUGGCUAAAUAACGAAUGUAUUGAGCCCUUGUCCAGGGGUUUAUAUACCUUCCGCCUUCCCCUUAUAAUAAUCACGGAAGGUAUAGAUUUUUCCCCAUGAGGAAAGAGGCUCAGGUGUUAAUAAGCACAUUUUCUGGCUGGAUGACUGAUAAAAGUGGGAGCGGACAGUAAGCUCAUUAUGGCUCAACUCACAACUGGAAAUGUAAAAAGGGACCCAAUUUAUGUACAUGAAAAAGCUUUCUGAAAAGGUGACAUCCAAGUAAAAGUGACUGUGUUGAUUACUGGUACCCAAAGGACCGUAACUAACUGAUCUACUUGGAUAAUGUAAUUUUAUUCUUCUGAAAAGUAAAUAAACUUUUCAAGAUACGGUCCUUACUUGAUAUGUCAAAAUUCAGUGAAAAAAACAAAAUGUCAUUUGACUCUGACAACUUUUGAAGAAACCGAUGUUUUUAUUCAUUUACAUGGUAUAAUUCAAUAUAGAAAGAAAAUGCAGAAAGUAAAAGUUUUUCCUUGUUUUUUUUAAAAUAGGUAAUAUAAUUUACACGGUAUAAAACUCAACAGAAGUGUCUGCUGUAAAAAUUAUUCAUCCUGCCCACCCUUACCCCCAACUAAUCACUGUCCAGUACAGUUCCCUCCCUAGAUAAUACCAUGGUUACCAGUUACUUGUGUAUCUUUCAGAGAUACUCUAAAGCAAGGUUGUACAAAUGUGAAAUUUUCACGUAGCAAGGGGUUCUUGAUUUGCCCUUUCACAGGUCUCAUUCACAUACUUAUAAAAUGUUAGAGCUGCAAAGGUAGAACAAAAUAUGAAUCACAUAUGAAUCAAAUAUGAAUCAGAUCACAGGAGUAAUUCCCACCAACCCCAAACAUAAGAUUGGCCAUGAAGAAGGUCAGAAAGGCCAGGCAGGAAUACAGGAAGUAGGCAGGGAUUAUCUCACAGCAGAAUGAGCAGUAAUCUCUAUUUUUUCCUGGAGUAUAGAUUUACAGUAUUCACUCCUACCUACUUCUCGGCUUCUAGGCCCACAGAAAGAUUUCACUUCUUUGUUACGAUUAGCCUGUGAAGUGGCUACUUCUGGCUAAAGGGCUAUGAGGCCAAAGCAUUUAAUUGCAGAGAACCCCCUUCAGUGUUCUCUUCUGCCAUAGGGAAUAUAAAGGCCGUGUGUUCCAGAUGGUAAUAGCUCAAGAUGGUAAAGCCUCUGUCGACGUGGGUCCUUGAGUGAGAUGAUCCACAGUGAAUGUAUGGUGCGGGCAAGAAAUAAAAGUCUGUUGUGUUAAGCUGCAA